UACAGAGGUGGCAAGCGUUGUUCGGAAUUACUGGGCGUAAAGGGCGCGUAGGCGGCCUUCUAAGUCAGACGUGAAAUCCCCCGGCUUAACCUGGGAACUGCGUCUGAUACUGGGGAGGCUUGAGUAUGGGAGAGGGAUGUAGAAUUCCAGGUGUAGCGGUAGAAAUGCGUAGAUAUCUGGAGGAAUACCGGUGGCGAAGGCGGCAUCCUGGACCGACACUGACGCUGAGGAGCGAAAGCCAGGGGAGCAAACGGG
rnacentral:rRNA from 1 species